CCUACGGGAGGCAGCAGUGAGGAAUAUUGGUCAAUGGACGAGAGUCUGAACCAGCCAAGUAGCGUGAAGGAUGACUGCCCUAUGGGUUGUAAACUUCUUUUAUAUGGGAAUAAAAUGUUCCACGUGUGGGAUUUUGUAUGUACCAUAUGAAUAAGGAUCGGCUAACUCCGUGCCAGCAGCCGCGGUAAUACGGAGGAUCCGAGCGUUAUCCGGAUUGAUUUGGUUUAAAGGGAGCGUAGGUGGAUUGUUAAGUCAGUUGUGAAAGUUUGCGGCUCAACCGUAAAAUUGCAGUUGAAACUGGCAGUCUUGAGUACAGUAGAGGUGGGCGUAAUUCGUGGUGUAGCGGUGAAAUGCUUAGAUAUCACGAAGAACUCCGAUUGCGAAGGCAGUUCACUGGACUGCAACUGACACUGAGGCUCGAAAGUGUGGGUAUCAAACAGGAUUAGAUACCCUAGUAGUC
rnacentral:rRNA from 1 species